rnacentral:lncRNA from 1 species
GCAUAAGAACUUUCUUCUCUGGCAGUGUGGUAGUCUAGAUACCCUGAAUGAUCCUUUCAAUUGAAACUACUAAAAUGAUGGAUAAAAAUAUAAUAAUAACAUCCUUUUUAAUGCAUUGCUAAGCUGGCAAGAAAGGAAGAAUUCCAGGAGUUGAGGAGGGUAGGGAGUAAAAGCAGGAACCCUGGGAGGCAGGUAAGUACCAAAGCUGGCCUUCUCCCUGAAAACUGUUGUUGAUCUUAAGGCAGUGAGGAUAGGAGAUGAAACAACCCAAGUCUGAAGAUAUAACAGAAGAUGCAGUGCUGCAUAAACCCCAGUCCCCAAGGGGCAACAUCCCCAGUAGAUGGAAAAACGAGAAGUCUGAGAUUUAGAAGCGUAUAUACAGGAAAGAAACUUGCUUGUUUUGACCUCUGAUGAUGGAAGAAAAAGACCAAAUUUUCUUUGAGAUUUCCUAACCACACACCAGCUCUCACAUGGUUUCCAGUCAUCAUUUAUCCUACU